rnacentral:rRNA from 1 species
UACGUAGGGGGCAAGCGUUGUCCGGAUUUAUUGGGCGUAAAGAGCGUGUAGGCGGCCUGGUAGGUCAGCUGUGAAAACUCGAGGCUCAACCUCGAGACGCCGGUUGAAACCAUCUGGCUAGAGUCCGGAAGAGGAGAGUGGAAUUCCUGGUGUAGCGGUGAAAUGCGCAGAUAUCAGGAAGAACACCGAUGGCGAAGGCAGCUCUCUGGGACGGUACUGACGCUGAGACGCGAAAGCGUGGGGAGCGAACAGG